UUUAUGGAGAGUUUGAUCCUGGCUCAGGAUGAACGCUGGCGGCGUGCCUAAUACAUGCAAGUCGAGCGAACAGAUAAGGAGCUUGCUCCUUUGACGUUAGCGGCGGACGGGUGAGUAACACGUGGGUAACCUACCUAUAAGACUGGAAUAACUCCGGGAAACCGGGGCUAAUGCCGGAUAACAUGUUGAACCGCAUGGUUCUACAGUGAAAGACGGUUUUGCUGUCACUUAUAGAUGG
rnacentral:rRNA from 1 species